rnacentral:rRNA from 1 species
UUCCGGUUGAUCCUGCCGGACCUGACUGCUAUCGGAUUGAUACUAAGCCAUGCGAGUCAUUGUAGCAAUACAAGGCAGACGGCUCAGUAACGCGUAGUCAACCUAACCUAUGGACGGGAAUAACCUCGGGAAACUGAGAAUAAUGCCCGAUAGAACACUAUACCUGGAAUGGUUUGUGUUCCAAAUGAUUUAUUGCCGUAGGAUGGGACUGCGGCCUAUCAGUUUGUUGGUGAGGUAAUGGCCCACCAAGACUAUUACAGGUACGGGCUCUGAGAGGAGUAGCCCGGAGAUGGGUACUGAGACACGGACCCAGGCCCUAUGGGGCGCAGCAGGCGAGAAAACUUUGCAAUGUGCGAAAGCACGACAAGGUUAAUCCGAGUGGUUUCUGCUAAAGGAACCUUUUGUUAGUCAUAGAACCACUAAUGAAUAAGGGGUGGGCAAGUUCUGGUGUCAGCCGCCGCGGUAAAACCAGCACCUCAAGUGGUCAGGAUGAUUAUUGGGCCUAAAGCAUCCGUAGCCUGCUUUGUUAGUUUUCGGUUAAAUCCAUACGCUCAACGUAUGGGCUGCCGGGAAUACUGCAAAGCUAGGGAGUGGGAGAGGUAGACGGUACUCGGUAGGAAGGGGUAAAAUCCUUUGAUCUAUUGAUGACCACCUGUGGCGAAGGCGGUCUACCAGAACACGUCCGACGGUGAGGGAUGAAAGCUGGGGGAGCAAACCGGAUUAGAUACCCGGGUAGUCCCAGCUGUAAACUAUGCAAACUCGGUGAUGCAUUGGCUUGAUGCCAAUGCAGUGCCGCAGGGAAGCCGUUAAGUUUGCCGCCUGGGAAGUACGUACGCAAGUAUGAAACUUAAAGGAAUUGGCGGGGGAGCACCACAAGGGGUGAAGCCUGCGGGUUCAAUUGGAUUCAACGCCGGAA